UACGUAGGUGGCAAGCGUUGUCCGGAAUUAUUGGGCGUAAAGCGCGCGCAGGCGGCCUCUUAAGUCUGAUGUGAAAGCCCCCGGCUCAACCGGGGAGGGCCAUUGGAAACUGGGAGGCUUGAGUAUAGGAGAGAAGAGUGGAAUUCCACGUGUAGCGGUGAAAUGCGUAGAGAUGUGGAGGAACACCAGUGGCGAAGGCGACUCUUUGGCCUAUAACUGACGCUGAGGCGCGAAAGCGUGGGGAGCAAACAGGAUUAGAUACCCUGGUAGUCCACGCCGUAAACGAUGAGUGCUAGGUGUUGGAGGGUUUCCGCCCUUCAGUGCUGAAGCUAACGCAUUAAGCACUCCGCCUGGGGAGUACGGUCGCAAGGCUGAA
rnacentral:rRNA from 1 species